UGCGCACAUUUUGACCUCAAACUUAUCGACUCUCACUGCUCUCAAUCUCAUUCUCAGCCUCCAUCGAAAAUUACUCUCUUCUCUAACUACAACCUAAACCAACUCCCCGCCGAUAUCAUGAUCCUCCGCAAACGGCCUCCGCAGCUCACUCCCCUUCCCUUUCCUACUCCAAGGUAUCUUCACCCUGCCGCUCCCCUCAUCCCUAACUUCCCUUUCCUCCUCGUCACAAUUCACUCUCUCAGUGCCCAGCUGCCAUCCUUCGAGCGGCUCCGAUCCUUCGAACGGCCGCCGGCCAAACGAAGACCACAGCCGAAUCCCCUCUCUACCCUCUUCCUCCUCCUACCUUUCAUUUCAAUAUGCAUUCCACCUAAUUGGCAGAUCAGAAUCUAAACCCUAAAACCUCCAAUUCCAAUUUCGGCGCGAUUCAUCCCGCUCUGGCGAAGCCUUUGCUUCUUCAAGGUAAUAUAUUCUCUCCUUCUUCAAUUUCGAGCUUCAUUGAGCUUCAAUUCGCAGCUUUGGUACCUAAUUCUUCUUUUUCCCGUUUUUGGGUUUUGGGAAGUACUAAUCCGGCAUGGCCUGCAAAUAUGGCGACUACCCCUUACGUUCCAGGCUGCUUUCAGGGUUGAGGACGACGAGAGAAUCGAGCUUGACAAGUCUGGUUAGCUGCAUUAACUAGCCGAGUUAAGAAUUGGGUAUAUAUGCUGACGACAAAGAGGCAGAGUAUAGCUCUUGGAGCAGUCUAUGGAGGAGUUUUAACGUACGGUCAAUGUGCCAGAAUU